CCUACGGGUGGCAGCAGUGAGGAAUAUUGGUCAAUGGACGAGAGUCUGAACCAGCCAAGUAGCGUGAAGGAUGACUGCCCUAUGGGUUGUAAACUUCUUUUAUAAAGGAAUAAAACGAGGCACGUGUGCCUUUUUGCAUGUACUUUAUGAAUAAGGAUCGGCUAACUCCGUGCCAGCAGCCGCGGUAAUACGGAGGAUCCGAGCGUUAUCCGGAUUUAUUGGGUUUAAAGGGAGCGUAGAUGGGUUGUUAAGUCAGUUGUGAAAGUUUGCGGCUCAACCGUAAAAUUGCAAUUGAUACUGGCAGUCUUGAGUGAGCGAGAAGUAUGCGGAAUGCGUGGUGUAGCGGUGAAAUGCAUAGAUAUCACGCAGAACUCCGAUUGCGAAGGCAGCAUACCGGCGCUCAACUGACGCUCAUGCACGAAAGUGUGGGUAUCGAACAGGAUUAGAUACCCGGGUAGUC
rnacentral:rRNA from 1 species